CGAAAAGUAGAUUGAUGAGGAGGUUGAGAAAGUAAAAUAAAAGAGAGAGAGUCAUUAAUAUAAUUUGUCUCCGAGCCCGUAAUUUGUAUACCAUAGACACCUAAAUCACUCUCCACAAUUAGCCAGUAAAUCCUUUCCUUCGUGAAAUUAGGGGUCAUCAAUCACUCAUUUCGUAAAGCCGCAAGUGGGUAUCACCCAAAGAGAAAUAAAUGAAAAAAAGGAAAAACAUCCACAACACUUCCUGAGUCUCACAUUCUCUCAGCUUUACUGCGUCUUCUUAUCAUCCUGUUGUUUCACUUCCUCCUUCUUUUCCCUCUCCUUGUCCACACCUGUCUGUUGAUCAUCGGACACCUGACCAUGGGGAUCAUAAUGGUAACUUUCGUACCCGUGCGCACCUGCCGCACCGCCAUCAGCUGUCGAGGGUCUACUCCUCAUCGUCUUGGGAGGACUACCUAACAACGCGGAGAUCGCCAAACUGCCCCUUCUCUCGCUAGUGGCAGGCAACCAGUUGGGAUCAUGCGGGCGUGGAGGGUCCAUGGCUCCAUUACCCGGUGCCGCACCGGGGUGAGGGUGAGGAUGAGGAGCAUCGUGCGCGCCGUUCGCGUGAGCAGCGGUGGAACUAUCGGGUACUUGGGAGUUGGAAGGUGAUGAUGGCCGAGGAUGUUUACGGUCAUCCUUGCCAAAGUCAUCUUCCGCGCGACGCUUGCGGGAGUCGUAGUUUUGAUACGGGUAACCCUCGGCGCCAGGAUUGGCGACGUUGUAUUGGAAGGGAGACUCGUGAGGUGGAGGAGCAGUUGGGGGCGCACCAGUGCCGUACCCCUGAGCGUAAGGUCCGCCAUUAGUCGCCGCAGGGGGGUACUGGCCCUGCCAUCCUGGAGGGUGAUACUCGUACACGUCUUCUCUAGGAGGAUACGAGCCGUGGGCAGCAUGGGCAGGAUGGUAAUAGCCUUCGGGAGGAGGAGGAUAUGCAGCGGCGUCAUGAGGAGGAUAGGCACCGUGUCCCGGAGGAGGAGAAGACCAGUUGGGAGGCUGUUGUUGAGCGGGAGGGACGUUACCGUACAUUGGUGAUUGGGGAGGAGGACCGUGUGCAGUAGCAGGAGGCUCAGACUCGGAAUAAUGUGCGGGAACGGGAAGUUCACGACCAGAAGCAGACAUAGGUCGGUAAGGGUAAGGCAACCCAGACAUCGACUCGCCAGAAGAACCGGUUCCAGGAGCAGUAGGAGGUCGAGCAGAGUCAUAGUAGCCCUGUUGGUAGCCAUAGCCCGCAGACGAACUGGGUCUCCUUGAUGGUCCAGCAUCGUCAUUGAGACUAUGCUCAGGCACAUAAGGGUAGUCAUAUCCGCCAUUAGUCCUGGGUCGAGGGUGAGGGGGGGCAUUCCACUGGGAUUCGUGGUACUGAGCGUAAGGAGAGUUUUGCUGGCUGUGGCCAUUUGCAGCAGCAGCUUGGGCAGCGGCGGCUUGGGCUUUGCGGGUCUCGCGACGUCGUUCGACUGCACCUUUAGGCACUUCGACAACUUCACCUCUUCGUCGUUGUUCUCUGCUAGCACGCUGAGAAAGGGCAGCGUGGAUAGGUGCGAGAGAAGCAAGCAUGGUUUCGUUCAGCUGAGCCUGCUCGGCGUGGACGGUAGCAGCGUGUUGACGAAGAUUGUCGAGCCUGGAGAAUGCUUUGCCACAAUGACAAGGGAAAGGACGUUCACCGUCAAGGUACAAUCGUUAUCGCAAACACUAAAUGUCACCCACCUCACAUGCCUUGCCAAAUGUUCACUUCUUGUAAACACCUUGUCACAAUCACCGUAACCUCUGCACCUAAACAUUUUGCCACCAGACACACCAACGGGGAUGAUGGGCUGCCCAUCGGGAGUGUAACCAGUAGCUGAAGGGGGUCGAUUAGAGCUGCUAGGAGGAGAAGGAAUAUGCUGUUCCGAUUGUUGUUGUUGCUGUUGCUGCGUGGGCAGAUAGUAACUACCAGAGGGCGGAUGUUGGGGUGGAUACGCCGUAGAGCCAGUAAGUGGCGUCAUAGGCUGAGGAGGAUAACUAUGGGAAGAACCAGGAGGACCUGCCAUUUCGGGAUGGUAUACUUGAUUAGGUGAUUCGUUGGGUGCAGAUGCACUCUUGUUGUAACUAUGAGACGAAGGAAGUCUCUGAUCAGGCGAAGUAGAUUCGUGACCAACACCGUGAGCAGAGCCCGGCGCACGGGAGUAAUUGUAAUAUGCUCGGUCGUCGGGAGCUACGAAGCUCAUGAUGUACGCGAGAUGUGAAUGUAAGGAGGCGGCAAGAGCGUUCCAGGAACUGAUGUGUGGUGUGGGAAAUCACCGAAAGACAAAGGAAGAUGUUUCGUUGUUUUUUUACCUAUCCGCAAAGCGAUAACGACGGACCUGAUCCACGCUUCGUGACCUGUGCCUGAAGA
rnacentral:sRNA from 1 species